rnacentral:rRNA from 1 species
UGCGAAGCCGCGAGGCAGAGCGAACCCCAAAAAAGCCGUCCCAGUUCGGAUCGCAGGCUGCAACCCGCCUGCGUGAAGUCGGAAUCGCUAGUAAUCGCGGAUCAGCAUGCCGCGGUGAAUACGUUCCCGGGCCUUGUACACACCGCCCGUCACACCAUGAGAGUCGGGAACACCCGAAGUCCGUAGCCUAACAGCAAUGAGGGCGCGGCCGAAGGUGGGUUCGAUAAUUGGGGUGAAGUCGUAACAAGGUAUC